GUGAGGAAUUUUCCGCAAUGGGCGAAAGCCUGACGGAGCAAUGCCGCGUGAAGGAUGAAGGCCUAUGGGUUGUAAACUUCUUUUCUCAGAAAAGAAUUAUGACGGUAUCUGAGGAAUAAUCAUCGGCUAACUCUGUGCCAGCAGCCGCGGUAAGACAGAGGAUGCAAGCGUUAUCCGGAAUGAUUGGGCGUAAAGCGUCUGUAGGUUGUUUAAAAAGUAUUCUGUCAAAGAUUAGGGCUUAACCCUAGAUAGGCAGAAUAAACUUUUAAGCUAGAGUUUGGUAGAGGCAGAGGGAAUUCCCGGUGGAGCGGUGAAAUGCGUAGAUAUCGGGAGGAACACCAAAGGCGAAGGCACUCUGCUGGGCCAAUACUAACACUGAGAGACGAAAGCGAGGGGAGCAAAUGGGAUUAGAAACCCGAGUAGUCC
rnacentral:rRNA from 1 species